GUGAGGAAUUUUCCGCAAUGGGCGAAAGCCUGACGGAGCAAUGCCGCGUGAAGGAUGAAGGCCUAUGGGUUAUAAACUUCUUUUCUCAGAAAAGAAUUAUGACGGUAUCUGAGGAAUAAGCAUCGGCUAACUCUGUGCCAGCAGCCGCGGUAAGACAGAGGAUGCAAGCGUUAUCCGGAAUGAUUGGGCGUAAAGCGUCUGUAGGUUGUUUAAAAAGUAUUCUGUCAAAGAUUAGGGCUUAACCCUAGAUAGGCAGAAUAAACUUUUAAGCUAGAGUUUGGUAGAGGCAGAGGGAAUUCCCGGUGGAGCGGUGAAAUGCGUAGAUAUCGGGAGGAACACCAAAGGCGAAGGCACUCUGCUGGGCCAAUACUAACACUGAGAGACGAAAGCGAGGGGAGCAAAUGGGAUUAGAUACCCUGGUAGUCC
rnacentral:rRNA from 1 species